rnacentral:rRNA from 1 species
GGGUUGUGAGGUUAAGCGACCAAGCGUACACGGUGGAUGCCCUGGCAGUCAGAGGCGAUGAAGGACGUGCUAAUCUGCGAAAAGCGCCGGUAAGGUGAUAUGAACCGUUAUAGCCGGCGAUGUCCGAAUGGGGAAACCCAGUGUGACUCGUCACACUAUCAUUAACUGAAUCCAUAGGUUAAUGAGGCGAACCGGGGGAACUGAAACAUCUAAGUACCCCGAGGAAAAGAAAUCAACCGAGAUUCCCCCAGUAGCGGCGAGCGAACGGGGAGGAGCCCAGAGCCUGAAUCAGCAUGUGUGUUAGUGGAAGCGUCUGGAAAGGCGCGCGAUACAGGGUGAGAGCCCCGUACACAAAAGCGCAUGUGCUGUGAGCUCGAUGAGUAGGGCGGGACACGUGGUAUCCUGUCUGAAUAUGGGGGGACCAUCCUCCAAGGCUAAA